rnacentral:rRNA from 1 species
GAUGAACGCUGGCGGCGUGCCUAAUACAUGCAAGUCGAGCGAAUGGAUUAAGAGCUUGCUCUUAUGAAGUUAGCGGCGGACGGGUGAGUAACACGUGGGUAACCUGCCCAUAAGACUGGGAUAAUUCCGGGAAACCGGGGCUAAUACCGGAUAACAUUUUGAACCGCAUGGUUCGAAAUUGAAAGGCGGCUUCGGCUGUCACUAUGGAUGGACCCGCGUCGCAUUAGCUAGUUGGUGAGGUAACGGCUCACCAAGGCAACGAUGCGUAGCCGACCUGAGAGUGUGGUCGGCCACACGGGGACUGAGACACGGCCCAGACUCCUACGGGAGGCAGCAGUAGGGAAUCUUCCGCAAUGGACGAAAGUCUGACGGGGCAACGCCGCGUGAGUGAUGAAGGCUUUCGGGUCGUAAAACUCUGUUGUUAGGGAAGAACAAGUGCUAGUUGAAUAAGCUGGCACCUUGACGGUACCUAACCAGAAAGCCACGGCUAACUACGUGCCAGCCGCCGCAGUAA